UUUCCGCUAAACCUUCCGAAAAAGCAGCCACCAAACCACUAUUGGUCCAGUCAACCUCAGAAGCUAAUGUCCUGAACUCUAUGGCGUAAUCGGCUACAGAGCGGGUGCCUUGUUUUAUUCUCAUUAAGGCUCUGGCAGCGUUUUUCUCUUUUCCCUUUGGCUCAAAAGUGGCUUUAAAUGCCGUUAAAAAUUCAUUAUAACCACGGGCAACUGGAUUUCCACUCUCCCAUAAGGGAUUGGCCCAGGUUAAG